rnacentral:rRNA from 2 species
GGUUAAGCGACCAAGCGUACACGGUGGAUGCCCUGGCAGUCAGAGGCGAUGAAGGACGUGCUAAUCUGCGAAAAGCGCCGGCGAGGUGAUAUGAACCCUUGACCCGGCGAUGUCCGAAUGGGGAAACCCAGUGUGACUCGUCACACUAUCAUUAACUGAAUCCAUAGGUUAAUGAGGCGAACCGGGGGAACUGAAACAUCUAAGUACCCCGAGGAAAAGAAAUCAACCGAGAUUCCCCCAGUAGCGGCGAGCGAACGGGGAGGAGCCCAGAGCCUGAAUCAGCAGGUGUGUUAGUGGAAGUGUCUGGAAAGGCACGCGAUACAGGGUGAGAGCCCCGUACACGAAAAUGCACCUGCUGUGAGCUCGAUGAGUAGGGCGGGACACGUGGUAUCCUGUCUGAAUAUGGGGGGACCAUCCUCCAAGGCUAAAUACUCCUGACUGACCGAUAGUGAACCAGUACCGUGAGGGAAAGGCGAAAAGAACCCCGGCGAGGGGAGUGAAAAAGAACCUGAAACCGUGUACGUACAAGCAGUGGGAGCACAGGUUUACCUGUGUGACUGCGUACCUUUUGUAUAAUGGGUCAGCGACUUAUAUUCUGUAGCAAGGUUAACCGAAUAGGGGAGCCGGAGGGAAACCGAGUCUUAACCGGGCGUUAAGUUGCAGGGUAUAGACCCGAAACCCGGUGAUCUAGCCAUGGGCAGGUUGAAGGUUGGGUAACACUAACUGGAGGACCGAACCGACUAAUGUUGAAAAAUUAGCGGAUGACCUGUGGCUGGGGGUGAAAGGCCAAUCAAACCGGGAGAUAGCUGGUUCUCCCCGAAAGCUAUUUAGGUAGCGCCUCGUGAACUCAUCUCCGGGGGUAGAGCACUGUUUCGGCUAGGGGGCCAUCCCGGCUUACCAACCCGAUGCAAACUGCGAAUACCGGAGAAUGUUAUCACGGGAGACACACGGCGGGUGCUAACGUCCGUCGUGAAGAGGGAAACAACCCAGACCGCCAGCUAAGGUCCCAAAGUCAUGGUUAAGUGGGAAACGAUGUGGGAAGGCCCAGACAGCCAGGAUGUUGGCUUAGAAGCAGCCAUCAUUUAAAGAAAGCGUAAUAGCUCACUGGUCGAGUCGGCCUGCGCGGAAGAUGUAACGGGGCUAAACCAUGCACCGAAGCUGCGGCAGCGGCACGCAAGUGUUGUUGGGUAGGGGAGCGUUCUGUAAGCCGUUGAAGGUGUGCUGUGAGGCAUGCUGGAGGUAUCAGAAGUGCGAAUGCUGACAUAAGUAACGAUAAAGCGGGUGAAAAGCCCGCUCGCCGGAAGACCAAGGGUUCCUGUCCAACGUUAAUCGGGGCAGGGUGAGUCGACCCCUAAGGCGAGGCCGAAAGGCGUAGUCGAUGGGAAACGGGUUAAUAUUCCCGUACUUGGUGUUACUGCGAAGGGGGGACGGAGAAGGCUAUGUUGGCCGGGCGACGGUUGUCCCGGUUUAAGCGUGUAGGCUGGUUUUCCAGGCAAAUCCGGAAAAUCAAGGCUGAGGCGUGACGACGAGGCACCACGGUGCUGAAGCAACAAAUGCCCUGCUUCCAGGAAAAGCCUCUAAGCGUCAGGUAACAUCAAAUCGUACCCCAAACCGACACAGGUGGUCAGGUAGAGAAUACCAAGGCGCUUGAGAGAACUCGGGUGAAGGAACUAGGCAAAAUGGUGCCGUAACUUCGGGAGAAGGCACGCUGACAUGUAGGUGAAGCGGUUUACCCGUGGAGCUGAAGUCAGUCGAAGAUACCAGCUGGCUGCAACUGUUUAUUAAAAACACAGCACUGUGCAAACACGAAAGUGGACGUAUACGGUGUGACGCCUGCCCGGUGCCGGAAGGUUAAUUGAUGGGGUCAGCGCAAGCGAAGCUCCUGAUCGAAGCCCCGGUAAACGGCGGCCGUAACUAUAACGGUCCUAAGGUAGCGAAAUUCCUUGUCGGGUAAGUUCCGACCUGCACGAAUGGCGUAAUGAUGGCCAGGCUGUCUCCACCCGAGACUCAGUGAAAUUGAACUCGCUGUGAAGAUGCAGUGUACCCGCGGCAAGACGGAAAGACCCCGUGAACCUUUACUAUAGCUUGACACUGAACACUGGUCCUUGAUGUGCAGGAUAGGUGGGAGGCUUUGAAGCGUGGACGCCAGUCUGCGUGGAGCCGUCCUUGAAAUACCACCCUUUAAUGGCUGGUGUUCUAACGUGGGCCCCUGACCGGGGUUGCGGACAGUGUCUGGUGGGUAGUUUGACUGGGGCGGUCUCCUCCCAAAGAGUAACGGAGGAGCACGAAGGUUGGCUAAUCCUGGUCGGACAUCAGGAGGUUAGUGCAAUGGCAUAAGCCAGCUUGACUGCGAGCGUGACGGCGCGAGCAGGUGCGAAAGCAGGUCAUAGUGAUCCGGUGGUUCUGAAUGGAAGGGCCAUCGCUCAACGGAUAAAAGGUACUCCGGGGAUAACAGGCUGAUACCGCCCAAGAGUUCAUAUCGACGGCGGUGUUUGGCACCUCGAUGUCGGCUCAUCACAUCCUGGGGCUGAAGUAGGUCCCAAGGGUAUGGCUGUUCGCCAUUUAAAGUGGUACGCGAGCUGGGUUUAGAACGUCGUGAGACAGUUCGGUCCCUAUCUGCCGUGGGCGCUGGAAGAUUGAGGGGGGCUGCUCCUAGUACGAGAGGACCGGAGUGGACGCAUCACUGGUGUUCGGGUUGUCAUGCCAAUGGCACUGCCCGGUAGCUAAAUGCGGAAGAGAUAAGUGCUGAAAGCAUCUAAGCACGAAACUUGCCCCGAGAUGAAUCUUCCCUGAGACUUUAAGUCUCCUGAAGGAACGUUGAAGACGACGACGUUGAUAGGCCGGGUGUGUAAGCGCAGCGAUGCGUUGAGCUAACCGGUACUAAUGAACCGUGAGGCUUAACCUU